AGUAGAAAGCCUAUAAUAUUAUUACAGAGUAGUGUGAGGUUAUAUAGGGGAAAACCGUCUUAUUGGAGCCGGUUCAUGGCGCUGCUGCCGUCACCCGGUUGGAAUGGGAUGUUACGGCAGUAGGUAAUAUGGUUAAAUCGGGCGCGGUACAUGAGCACUAUGUUUAAGCUCCAGCCGGGUGACGGCAGCAGUGCAGGGAGACGGUUCGGGUAGACUGGUCUUGCCCCCUAUAUUAUGUGAAAGCAUGUGUGUUUUUCACUGCUGUGUAUUUACUAAAACAAAUCGACAUUAUAAAAAUUUGAAAUUUAUUCAAUUUUGUCAACGUGGAAAACCGGUUUCUUCUGCAUUGCAGGCGGUCCGAUUCCAGUUCUUCGUGUUUUUCUUUAUGAAAAUCGUAGUAAUUUGUUGCUGUUGCUUAUUGAUUAUUUCCCUUUAGUGAUUUUAUUUAGUGCCUUUUAUGCGAAAUGAGUCAAUGAUCGGGAUCACAGCACCAGCUUCGUCGGAUAUCGAACCGAACUGAAAAUGAUGCUUUACCAGACGUCAGACGUCAGACGACAGCACAUCGUUCAUCGGAACAACUGCUUUGACAAGCUACCGAUGCCGGAUGAUGGGGAAAAUUUCUUCGAGGAAACUGCGGGGCUCGUGUACAACAAAUAUGUCAUCAGCUUUCCCAAAGCGCCGAAGUUGCCCGACGUGGAUUUUAUCCCAUUGAUUUUGGCGCGUACGUGUCGAGUCUUGUCGGACAGUAGUGAAAAUCUCAGCGAGGUCAAGUGCAUAUUUGAUCGGUACGCGAGAGUAGAUGAUUUGCAGUUCUCCUGUAUGGAACACCGACAGCCGGAUGUCUUUGUCAUCUUUGUCGGUUGUCGAAUGUCCGUACGAGUGGGACUGGACACAAUCAGUUCUGUCUGCGCCAAAAUGGAGAGUGACGGAAACGGUUAACUUUCCGGGUGUCUGCGCAUUCGCUACGUCGAGACACCCGCUGAGCAGAUCCGUAUAAUGACCAGUGUCCGGCCGUCAGUCCGGGGGCGUAUGAAAAGGUCGCAGCGAUCCAAGCACGCUGGGCGCGUACAUUGGCUAUCCGAAUCAGUGGAGCGGCAUCCGGGUUUUCUUGCAGAUGUUCAGUUCACUCCAUCCUGAUGACAUCCCACAGCGCUGGAAUACGAUGGAUCCCGCCAACUGGACACUGCAGUUUUGACCCAUGUCACAAUUGCGGCACUGGAUGGAUGCUACGAAGACUAAAACUGGCUUUGAAAAAAUUAGGGUUUGCAUUAUUUCACAGGCUAAGCUACUUUGUAUUUUGAUAAUCCAUUAAUUUUACUCGCUUGUGCCCUGCCGCAGUGCGGACUAUGACAAAACCACUGCGACCAUCGCUUCGUCGUUUCUUGUUUGUCGAAAUGGUAAGCACUGGAACGCAGUUUUAUCUUGCGUAGGAAAUUCUGUUUACUUUCAUUGCUCCUAGUACAGUGUGGCUGAUCCCCAUGAUAAUAAUUUUCGCAUUUGUGGCGGCUAUAAAGAAGCUGUA